AUUCUUUUCUUAUGAUAAAAUUGUUUUUUUUUAAACAAUCAAAAUUUUUAAGUUUAUACUAAUAUCAAAACUGAUGAAGUUGAGGUUUUUAUGUAUGGAGUGUGAAAGUUUUGUGAUAAUUUAAUGAGGCCUAAGUACUGCGUUUAGUAAUUUAUAUUUGAAUUAAGUUAUUUAUUUAUUUUUUAAAACCACAUACAUACAUUUAUUUUUUAAUCUGUAUUUACAAUCUGAGAUCAUCACUUUGGCUUGUAGUAAGACUUACUGCCAACAAUGCAUUAAUGCAAGGGUUUCUAAACUUAUUUUGU